rnacentral:tRNA from 1 species
AAUCCGUCGAUUUCAA